AGAGUUGAUCAUGGCUCAGGAUGAACGCUAGCUACAGGCUUAACACAUGCAAGUCGAGGGGCAGCAUUAUCGAAGCUUGCUUGAUAGAUGGCGACCGGCGCACGGGUGAGUAACGCGUAUCCAACCUUCCCCAUAGUAGGGCAUAGCCCGUAGAAAUGCGGAUUAAUACCCUAUGUAUUCCGAGGAUGACGUCUGAUUCGGAACAAAGGUUCACCGCUAUGGGAUGGGGAUGCGUCUAAUUAGGUAGUAGGCGGGGUAACGGCCCACCUAGCCGACGAUCAGUAGGGGUUCUGAGAGGAAGGUCCCCCACAUUGGAACUGAGACACGGUCCAAACUCCUACGGGAGGCAGCAGUGAGGAAUAUUGGUCAAUGGGCGAGAGCCUGAACCAGCCAAAGUAGCGUGCAGGAAGACCGGCCCUAUGGGUUGUAAACUGUCUUUUAUACAGGGAUAAAGUCGGGGACGUGUUCCCCGUUUGCAGGUACUGUAUGAAUAAGGACCGGCUAAUUCCGUGCCAGCCGCCGC
rnacentral:rRNA from 1 species